rnacentral:lncRNA from 1 species
GUUCAUUAUAUCAUUUUAUUUACAAGUUUACUAGUAUAAUUUACAAGUAUAGUGCGUGCCCUCUUUAGGGUGUAUCACACUAUUUAAAAAGGUGAAAAAAAGAAGGAAGAAGAUGGGGAGUUCCCGUCUUGUGGCUCAGUGGUAACCAACACGACUAGUAUCCAUGGGGACUCGGGGUCGAUCCCUGGCUUCUUUCAGUGGGUUAAGGAUCCAUCGUUGCUGUGAGCUGUGGUGUAGGUCGAAGACUCGGCUUGGAUCUGGCGUGGCUGUGGCUGUGGCUAUGGCCGGUAGCUACAGCAACGAUUCGACCCCUAGCCUGGAAACUUCCAUAUGCCAGCUCUAAAAAGAUAAAAAGAAAAAAAAAAAAAAGAAUCUGACAGCAGUGGCUUGGGUUGUUGGGGAGGUGCGGGUUCAAUCCCCAGCCCUGUGCAGCAGGUUAAAUGAUCCCAUCCUGGCCCUGGGAACUUCCUUAUGUGGUAGGUGCAGACAUUAAAAAAACAAAAAAAAAAAAAAGGAAGAAGUAGAAGAUAAACCAAAUGAAAAUAAAAAGCUACUUUUGCCUAUUAUAAUAAAGUGUCAAAUAGCAGUUAUUUCCGGAAUGAUAAGAUUGUGGGUGGCUGUUUUCUUUGGGCUUAGCUGUAUUUUCCAAAAUUUUUAAGAUAAUGGUCACACCAUGUUUUUAUAUUUAAAAACUUAUUUUUAAUUUAUAAAAAAUGAACUGCACAUAUAGCACGAUUCCUUUUUCUUUUUCUUCUUUUUUUUUUGCUUUUUAGGGCAAGACCUAUGGCAUAUGGAAGUUCCUAGGCUAGGAACUGUGAAUCAGGCUAGGUGUUGAAUCAGAGCUGUAGCCACUGGCUUCUGCCACAGCCACAGCAAUGUGGGAUCUGAGCCACAUCUGCGACCUACUCCACAGCUCAUGGCAACGCCAGAUUCCCCGACCCACCGAGUGAGGCCAGGGAUCAAACCCGCAUCCUCAUGGAUACUGGUUGGACUGUUUCCGCUGCACCACAGUGGAAACUCCCCCCAGCGUGAUUCCAUUUUUUGUGCACUAUCUAUGCAUAUAUGUUCGUAAAUGCACGCAAAAGGCUUCUGGAAGAAGCCAUGCAGGGCUACAGGUAGCAGUUUCCCCUGGAAAGUGGAUGGGGGUGGGGGUGGGUGCUGUUUUCGCUUUAUAAACUUCCAGGUGGUCUGCAGUGGACUAAUCUGGUAAGUUUAUACCACUUUGCUUUUAAUUAAAACCAAGGUCAGAAGUUCCCAUUGUGGCUCAGCAGUAAGGAGCCUGACUAGUGUCUAUGAGGAUACAGGUUCGAUCCCGGGAUUCUCUCAGUGGGUGAAGGACCUGGCAUUGCUGUGAGCUAUGAUGUGGCUCUGAUCGUUGCUGUCGCUGUGGCCUAGGCCGGCAGCUGUAGCUGGGAACUUCCAUAUGCUGCAGGUGUGGCCUUAAAAAGCAAAAAAAAAGAAGAAAAACAAAGUCAUGAGCCACAAAGUCCAGCUUCCAGGUCACAGAGGCAGUGGAGAGGGGUGGUGUGCAGAUGGCCAUUGGUGCCUGCAAGGCUUCCUGUCCCUCUGGUGUCCACCUCCACCCUCUUCCUGAGCCCCAGCGCCGCCCUCCACACCCGGGCCCUCCUAAGUGCCUAGGGCCACAGGACAGAAAACCACAGAGCAGGGGACAGGGCAGUCGUGUGGGAAGCCUGAUGAACCUGACUGCUGGGGGCUCAGAGAAGGGGAGCCCGUUGCUUGGUCACAGGCAGGUGAGAGGCAUUGGGUCCCUAGCCCUUCUCCCAGCCCCAGGCCAAUGACCCGGACUCUGGAAAUAAAAGGGUGGGACAACCCAGGUCCUGGAUCAAAUCUAGAGCCAGAACCCGGAGCUCCCCUGUCAGGCCUGGCCUGUCUCUGGGCCCAGGCUUACUUCAGAAGGUUCUGCUCUGGGACUGGCUUCCCUUUCCUGGGCCCCCCAAACAAUAACAGGCACUUUGAUAAUAAUAACGAGGAUACGAAAACCCACAGCUCCUGUGCUGGGUGCCUUCUCCUGCGCUAAUAAGCACUUUGCAAACACACCUCAUUGAAUCCUUAAAAUAACCUGUGACGUGGCAUGGCCGUUACUCCUGCUUUCCAGAAAGAGAAAGUGAGGCACAGAGAAGACACAGGGACACCCGCCCCCCCCAGGGCCUGUCUGCGGAAUAACCACAAGCCUUUCUGGCCCCCGAAAGCCCCAGGCAUGCCCCCAUAUGCAUGUCAGGACCUUCACGAAUGGGAGGUUGUGCCAAUCCCGACCCUGCCCGGAGCUGGCGGCGGGUCCUUCCGGGAGUUGCUCCCCUAUGGUCUGGGGGGUGGCCUCAGCUGCAGCCCUACCUGCCCCAGAGUGGCGGUCCUACGUGUGACACCCCCCCACCACCCCUCGGCAAUCUUUGCCCUGGUGGGAUUUUCGAUUCCACAGGAGACUGGAAAAAGCCCUCAGGGGCCUCUGGGCAGUGGGCCUGGGACCAGGAAGUUCCUGCUUCUUCAGAGAAGGAGGCUGGAACAGUCAGGCUGGCCCAGGUGGCACUGGGCAUGUGGGCAGUUGGUCUGGGACCAGGAAGUUCCUGCUUCUUCAGAGAAGGAGGCUGGAACAGUCAGGCUGGCCCAGGUGGCACUGGGCAUGGGGGCCCAACAGUGCCUGGAAGAACCAAGGUUCCUUUCGUUGCCUGAUUAGAUGAAGUUUGAGUGUGAGCUCCUGGCCUAUCCCCGAGUUCUUUCUGAGGAGAGCCCUCUUAAGACAGCUCCAGGCCAUGAGGCUCAACUGCCUUCCCCUCUGUUCUCAGGAGGAAUACAUGGGCCCCCAGCAGGCCUGCUGAGGAGGCAAAGGAGCCAGGGUACAACAGGAAAAGAGGCCCGGAGAGGGGCCCACACCAAGCUGUCCCCCCUCCAACUCCUCAGAGCUGGGAGGAGGCUCCUGUUCCCCAACUCACCUCCUGGAAACUUCGGGAACUGCAGGGGCAGAGAAGAGGGUCCAGAGAGCUGUCAGCAGACCCAGAACCCGUCACCAGUCAUCUUCAUCGGCCUGGAGGAAGUGGCUGGCAGAAGGCUUGUGCCAGAUCACCAGUCCAGAAAGCCAAUAUUUGGGCCAACCCAGCAAUAAACACUACCCAACCAAGGGCAGGGCCGAGACAGAGGUACCUCUGUGCACUGGGCCCAAGGGCUGGGCCAGCAUCUCCGGGGAAACAGAGCAGGAGGAGGAGAAGGAAGUUCCUGGGAGGGGGUGGACUUGGAGUCCCAGCAAAACCAGUAGACCC